rnacentral:rRNA from 1 species
AGAAUCAACGCUGGCGGCGUGCCUAACACAUGCAAGUCGAACGAGAAAGUGGAGCAAUCCAUGAGUAAAGUGGCGCACGGGUGAGUAACACGUGACUAACCUACCCUUGAGUGGGGAAUAACUGAGGGAAACCUUAGCUAAUACCGCAUAACACCUACGGGUCAAAGGAGCAAUUCGCUUAAGGAGGGGGUCGCGGCAGAUUAGUUAGUUGGCGGGGUAAUGGCCCACCAAGACAGUGAUCUGUAUCCGGCCUGAGAGGGCGCACGGACACACUGGAACUGAAACACGGUCCAGACUCCUACGGGAGGCAGCAGUGGGAAUUUUGCGCAAUGGGGAAACCCUGACGCAGCAACGCCGCGUGGAGGAUGAAGACCCUUGGGUCGUAAACUCCUUUCGAUCGGGACGAUUAUGACGGUACCGGAAGAAGAAGCCCCGGCUAACUUCGUGCCAGCAGCCGC